CCAGCGUGAUCAGGUCUCCGAAGCUGGCAGCGAUGGGCGUGGCCACGUUGUCAGGGUUGAUGCCCGUCUUCUUGGAGCCGACGAUCACGCCCACCAUGAUGAUGCCUGCCGCCAGACAGGAAGUACAGCAGGAGUUUUCUGAGACGUUUCACAGCAGGAAGUGAACACACGAUGCCACAGAGCUGAAGAAAACAGCCCCCCCCUCCUCCUGGCCCCCCUCCUGCUGCCCUCCCCCUUAGUGAAGGAGUGGACAGUCGGGAAGCCAGGGUCAUCUCCAGAUUCCCCUUCAGACCCAGAAGAGCCGGCACCAGGAUGAAGAUCUCUGUGAUGUUCUUAAAGGCUUCCCAGUGCUGCCAGAAUAACAC